rnacentral:rRNA from 1 species
GUGAGGAAUAUUGGACAAUGGGCGCAAGCCUGAUCCAGCCAUGCCGCGUGCAGGAAGACGCAUCUAUGGUGUGUAAACUGCUUUUGUACGGGAAGAAACACUCCCUCGUGAGGGAGCUUGACGGUACCGUAAGAAUAAGGAUCGGCUAACUCCGUGCCAGCAGCCGCGGUAAUACGGAGGAUCCAAGCGUUAUCCGGAAUCAUUGGGGUUAAAGGGUCCGUAGGCGGUUUAAUAAGUCAGUGGUGAAAGCCCAUCGCUCAACGAUGGAACGGCCAUUGAUACUGUUAGACUUGAAUUACAAGGAAGUAACUAGAAUAUGUAGUGUAGCGGUGAAAUGCUUAGAUAUUACAUGGAAUACCAAUGGCGAAGGCAGGUUACUACUUGUGGAUUGACGCUGAUGGACGAAAGCGUGGGGAGCGAACAGGAUUAGAAACCCGUGUAGUCC